rnacentral:rRNA from 1 species
AGAACGAACGCUGGCGGCAUGCCUAAUACAUGCAAGUCGAACGAACACUUCGGUGUUAGUGGCGCACGGGUGCGUAACGCGUGGGAAUCUGCCCUUGGGUUCGGAAUAACAGUUGGAAACGACUGCUAAUACCGGAUGAUGACGAAAGUCCAAAGAUUUAUCGCCCAGGGAUGAGCCCGCGUAGGAUUAGCUAGUUGGUGAGGUAAAGGCUCACCAAGGCGACGAUCCUUAGCUGGUCUGAGAGGAUGAUCAGCCACACUGGGACUGAGACACGGCCCAGACUCCUACGGGAGGCAGCAGUGGGGAAUUUGGACAAUGGGGAAACCCUGAAUCCAGCCAUCCCGCGUGUGCGAUGAAGGCC